rnacentral:rRNA from 1 species
ACGAGCGAGGGCCUCUGGGUCACCUCCCACCCGUGUUUAUUUUACCUUGUUGCUUCGGCGGGCCCGCCUUAACUGGCCGCCGGGGGGCUUACGCCCCCGGGCCCGCGCCCGCCGAAGACACCCUCGAACUCUGUCUGAAGAUUGUAGUCUGAGUGAAAAUAUAAAUUAUUUAAAACUUUCAACAACGGAUCUCUUGGUUCCGGCAUCGAUGAAGAACGCAGCGAAAUGCGAUACGUAAUGUGAAUUGCAAAUUCAGUGAAUCAUCGAGUCUUUGAACGCACAUUGCGCCCCCUGGUAUUCCGGGGGGCAUGCCUGUCCGAGCGUCAUUGCUGCCCUCAAGCACGGCUUGUGUGUUGGGCCCCGUCCUCCGAUCCCGGGGGACGGGCCCGAAAGGCAGCGGCGGCACCGCGUCCGGUCCUCGAGCGUAUGGGGCUUUGUCACCCGCUCUGUAGGCCCGGCCGGCGCUUGCCGAUCAACCCAAAUUUUUAUCCAGGUUGACCUCGGAUCAGGUAGGGAUACCCGCUGAACUUAAGCAUAUCA